UCCCCUUUCCCUUCAUCCUCCGCGAAAGUGACCCAGCGAGGCGCCGCAACGUUGCCGAAGUGCCGAGCGAGGGCGACUCCCGGUGAUCCAGGCACGCCAUCCGCUGUGACCCCGGUGAGCCGCCCCGCCAUCCUGGAGACAUCGCCCUGACCCCGCUACCCCGCGUCCCCAUUGGCGCCGACACGUGUGACCUUGGCGAGUCAACCCGCAACCCUCGACGCGCGAUGCUGCUCCGGCAACCCUGGCUAACUGCGUGUCCACUCUUCCACCGAUCCCUCUACAUGCUGUUCAGAGGGAGGUCACUGCCUUGAGCGCCUUGUGAUCACCGCAGGUCAACUUAUACUCGCACCCCAUUGCAGGUAAAUCGAGACCCGCGGGCUCCGACGGCCCAUGAUCGCGCUCCGGCGUCAACCAGAGAUCCUGGUGAGGCCACACGUGCCACCCUCGGUGUCCUCCCUCAACAACACCUGCACCAAAGAAGAAAGCUCUAUUCCAAUCUCCAGCAACUUCCUCCGUGGCAGCAUGUCUGGUCUCGAGCACUGCGGGCAAGCAUUUGUUAAGGGAGGCACCACGGAUUCAUGCUCAUGUCUCCAAUCCAGUUGGUUUUGAUUGGAAGCACUAGAUGGUAUGUUGCUGCCUAGCAGUAUUAUUCCACUGUGAUGACAUGAGACCGAUCUAAUACGUGACUGGUAUCAAUGUGUGGCUGACAUUGUCGUUCUUCUACUAAAAGGUUCACAGCCGAAGGAUUUUUUUUCAGCUGCUAGGUGCUUCAUGAUUUGCCUCUUCUGUGGAAAUAAGUUUCAUGCGCAUCAAAGCGAGGUCAGAGAUGAAAACCCAUACUUUCUCAAGAAUAAUGUUAGUAUGUAAUUCACAGUUCUAGAACAUAAUUGUUCAUGAAAAGAGUAGUAUAUUCCAUGGGCCUCUGUUUUGAUUACAUAAUUUUUACAACAGUUAGAUGAGAGUAAAAUUCAACUUCCUAUCUUAUCUGCCAUAUCUAGCUCGGUAUAGCUAGCUUCCACCCUUUUGGUUAAUAUCUAUUUCCACUUCUCCAGUUAUUACAAUGCUCCUAAUUCUUUUGGUUGAUUUUGUUUCCUCCAUCAGCGCCUGAGGUUGUCAAUUCAAAGUACUACUAUGAAUAUUUCUUUUAGGAAUAUGAGUUACGCGUUAAUCAAUUGGUGCCUUCAAGUGUGCCUUUCAAAGAAAUCCAUAUAUUAACAAGAUCGAUGGAAAAUUGUAUAUUUGCAUUUGAUUUACAUAAUGAUGUGUAGACUUUUCCUUUGGGAAAUUGAGUCUUUUAUUAAUUAUUUGCACCGUCACACAACCACCAAAAUGUUCACUCCAUGCAAUUGCCUUAUCAUUCAUAUUUCUGCAUAAACAGACUGGUAUAUGUUUUGUUUUCUUAAAAUUCCUUAAAAGAAAUUAUUAUUGCUGCUGCUAUUGUUGUUCCGUUUUUGUUUUUAAAAAUUCACCCAUGCUGAGUAAAUAUGAAUUAUAAAUGCCACAAGUUUUCAUACUCCAAGUGAUCUCUUUAAUGUAUCUAUUUUCUCUUUCGUGCAUAUUCCCUUCAGAUAUGUAAUAGUAUAGCCCAUAAUCAAAUGAUAUAUUUCUACAAUUUUAAUAAAGGUAUGUUUGUUGUUCCCUCAAAUGGGUGAUAUAUUACAGUUUACAGGUUCCUCGUGGUAUUGGUGUUUGUUCAGCUGAAUACUUAACUUGAAUACACCCGUAGUUUACCUUCAUGUCUCAUGCGUACUCCUUCGGCAUGGGAUGUAAAGCUCGCUGAUAUUUCUAUGAUUUGGCACAUAUGCUAUCAUUUAUUGUCUAUCUAAUGUGUUUGGUUUGAAAUAGCUGCAAGAAUAGUAACUGAAGUUCAGUUUCCAAACAUGCAUGUGUAAUUACUAUCAAACAAUUUUCUAUAAGGCUAAGAGCUUAGAUAUUAUUUCUUUAAACUUAUAUCUUCACUUUCCAGACGUAAGAAAUAACACUUAUGGUUAGAAUUAUACUACACGAUUGUUCUGGUGUUGAUAACAGUCCUAGCCUAAAAAAUUUGCCCUUGGUGAGAGGAGCAGGUCUAGCCCAUUGUGAUCAUGCUUGGUUUAAUUGGUCUAUGCUUGCUGGGAGCCUAUUAAUAACUAGUAGAACGCCCGUGCGUUGCUACGAGCUACAAUGCAUAGAAAUAAAUCAAAUGAAGCUAGAUAACUUCUGUUAUUUUCACGUGAAUAACAUGAGGCAAAGUAAUAAGUAAGCAGUUUAGUUCCUGAGAGUGGACCCAAUAUUUCAGUCUCAUAUGCUCAUUGGAUUGGCAAAACUUUACAAUCGCAUUAGAAAAGUUCCAUGGUAGUUUGUUUACCUAACAGGAAAAAGGUCAAGAAAAUGCAGGGUCUAACUGAACCAUUAGCUCCCAAUGGCUUGUUAUCUGCAACCUUUACAAAAUCCAAAAAAAGUAUAUUUUGAAAUAUGAUGCCCAAGAACAAUCAUGGAUCAGAUGGUUGUAUCUGAUUCCAAACAGACUGAGGCCCUGUCCAAACAAAUAAUAAUAAAUUGCUGACUCAUUAAUUUUAUGCACCAAGUAUAAUGCAAAUAGGAAUACGUAGCACUAAAAUCUCUACUCCUAAUGGAGCAGUUGGUAGUCUCGCUUCCAGGUUUUUUUUCGUCCCACCUCACAUGGUUUUUUUUGGUACCUCCUCCCACCUCUGACUUAUCCACCAGAAACCGAAAAAACCUCCUCCUGAGGCCCCAACCCGCACCCAUCCACGUACAAAAAAAUAGACCAACCAAGGUUAACCAACGAAAAAAGACCUACGAAGGUUAACCAGCGACGAAAAAACCUAAACCUAUCGCCCGCUCCCUCGCGCCCCUGUUGCUCCCUCCUCAAUCCCGAUCUGGAUCGAGGGGACGAGGAGCUCCUGCCUCCCCGACGGCCGGCCUCCUCCUCGCCCCGCCGCUGCAUCCGGCGCCGCCACGGGCUCUGGAGCCAGGGAAGCCAUGGCCUGAGCUCGGCCUCGAGGUCCCCCCGCCGUCUCCUGCAGCUUCUGCCCCGCCGCCUCAACGCCCGAGCUCGCCAUCACACCAACCUCGGCGCCGCGCCGCCGCCGGCUCUGGUCGCCUCCACCUCCGCUCCAGGCAACCCUCGGUCGCCGGCUCGUUGGAGCACGACGGCAGACGAUGGAUGCCCUGGUUGUGUGCGACGGUUGCAGUUCUUACGCGCAAGCUAGGGUUGGAGCCGCCAGCUCUUCAUCCUGCCUGCCGGCGGCGAGUCUUCCCGUCCCGCACUGCCGCCUCCCCGUUAUCACAGCAUGGUCAAAACAAUGGUGCCUUCACCCUUGCUCGUGCCUCAACCCACAUGGUCAUCUUUGAGACGUGGUAUUCAGUCACAUGACAGAGUUCUCUUUAUCUUUGAGGUCAGGUGCGGCAACUAGCGACAUGUGCUGGAACUUCUGGCUUCGCUGGCGGCGGCAUCACCUGCAUCGACCUCUCCCUGGUCGCCUUCGAGAGUGUGUGCGGCCGACCAUCAAGCUUGUUAUGACGCACUUUGAAUUUCCGAGCAAGUCGCAGCCUUUUCAGAUUCAUCAACACAGGUUACAUCAGUAGUCAAUAUGGUUCAGAUGCAUAAUAGUACGUACUUCAUUUCCUUUUUGUUGUGUACGGUGUCCUACAACAUGGAUCAUAUAUAUCGGUUAUCUUUCAGGUUCAGUUUGCUGUGGCGAAUUCUUCUUGAAUUUGUUGCAGCAAACUUGUGGUCAUGUAUGGUUUUUAGUUUUGCAAGCAUGCAUAGUUUAGAAGUUAGAAAGCUCGUUCAUGUACUGUUCUAAACUGAAAGUUUAAGUGGCUUUUCCACCCAUGGUAUUGUGGUGGUCAUAAUAGCACACCUCACAAUUAUUAUGGCCAGAUCUACAAGCACUGAGCGUUGUGUUUUUUAGCCCCCUCUGUUUCUCCUGGGCAUCAAUCUAUGCGCAACAAGCUCUUCAGUGCUUGAUGACAAAUAAAGGUUGCAUCUUAGAUAUUUGCUUGAUUUGAAUGAGCCAUUUUGCUGUCAGCUAAACUGUUAAAAGUCAGAUGUAAGAUUAUGUUUCUUGGCACAUGAGUUAUUUUUCAGUCAACGCGUGGCGAGUCCACUUCGAACUGAUAUAUGCACUUUUUAUUUGAAACUGAACCACCAUGGUUUAAUUUUAUUUUCAUUUGGACAAGUUACCCCAAGUAUCAUCAGUUCAUGAUGACUGGUUUGGUGUGAUGAAUUGAUCCUGGUGCUGAUUUAAGAGUUUUUUAUGACGCUGUCUUGUAAGGGAGUAAGGUCUGGUAUCUAUAUGGCUGUUAUUUUAGCUCUUACAGAUUGCCAUAUAUGACAUGCUAAUUGUUUUUAGCUCUUGAUAUAGUUAAACUUUUUUUUUCGAAACGGAGGCAAAAGAUUUGCCUCAUCCAUUAAAUGGGAGGAGAAUAGAGUUAAACUUUGGAUGCACCAGUGCCUGAUGCAUAUGUUUGUUUACUUGGUUUGAACUCUGAAUGAUAUGUUGUUAUCCUGCACGCAUGCCUGAUGAGUUGGUGCUGCUGGUAUUUUGAGGAGGCAAGUUGUGGUUUUACUCCUGGCCCUGAGAAGGGUGAACUAGGCCAUAGCGAGGGCGCCUUCAGGAACAUCGAGUCAGGGUGCCUCACUUUCUAUUUCAGUCUGCGAGGUAAUGAAGGCAAAAAAAAGUUUCUACUCGCCCUGUUCUUGCAACUAAACAGAGAAAAACUGUGUGGUUACUGAAGCAUUAUGGUCUAUAGUUAUCGAAGCAUUGCAUUUGUUGAGAAAGUGUUCCUUAUACCAUGUAAGUAGGGACAAUUACUAUUUAACUAGGUACAAUUAAUAUUUAACAAGCCACAGUUGAUCAAGCAGUCAAUGCUUAAAUAUGCCCGUACUCUGUCGUAUCCAGGAUGGAGCUUUGCUAGCUUUUGAGUUGGAUUCUUUUGACUGCACCUAAAUAUGACAAGCCGACAGUAAAUGAGCUCAUUUUAAAAAACUGCAGUUUAAAGGAAAUUAUUACAAUAUGUAUAUCAAUUCCAACAUUGCUAUCUGAAGGAUGAUUUAAGGACUAUUUGUCUCUGAUGGCUUUCCCUGUUUGGCUCCCUUUUCUGUGAGUUGACUCUACAGUUCUAGGAUCUUCUCUGUAACCAUAAAUUCACAGCUUAGCAAAAGUAUAUAUAUACUUGCUAGACCUUCUCAUUACACUCUUUCACUUUUUUGGACUAAUACUAUCCUGUAUAGACCUAAUAACAGAAGACAUGGGAAAUGCUUUCGUAACAUGAUGGUUUUUUUUGUUAGAUGCUCUGUUUAUUUAGUGUCGUUGAUCCAAAAACUUGAAAGUGUAGAAAUGUUCAUGCAUGGGACUAUAGAACCAAGUAUUUCUCGAUUUGGUGAUGCUUAAUUCAGAGUUCUUAUGCAUCAGAUUGGAGUGUUAACACAAACCUGUUAUUUAUUUCACUUCAUAUGAGUUAAUGCCAAGGCCUUUUUUGUGUCCCCUCUAAUCAUUGCAUUUGUAUCUUGAUCAUUGUAUUACGAGAAGCAAAAUAUUUCUCAUGUUUUGCUCAGUGUGUCUACUUAUCUUAUUUAUUAUAUUAACUAUUUUUUGAUGAUAUUUCACAAGAAUGACAUUGUUAGAUUUAGAUUCGUUAGGUUUCAACACAUUUGAUGGUAGGCCAUUUCAAUAAUUCUAUUUGUUUCAGGCAUUGGUAGAUUGUGUUACAACUGAAGAGUUUCUUGUGCUAAUACUUGCAGAUCUCGACACACCCUGAACAAUGAGCACAUGUUACCAGCCACAUUCCACACAGGAUGUGUUCUUUUCAAAACAAAGAUACCCUGAUACAUGAUUAUUCCUCUUUCAAGUUCUUGAUCCUUGAAGAUACUUGCUAGGUUUCUAGCUGAUUUUUUGGUAGUAUAAGGCUAUAAGCUCGAUGUAUAUGGCCUGAAUAUGAUCUGAUUCAGAGUACAUUGUGUUCUGAAGCUUUUUACUGUAUGGUUCUCUCUUGAAAGAAUUCAAGCCAUUGUUCAAUGGGAGAGAAUAGUUGUAAUCCUCAAAUAACUGUCGUACCUAUUCAUCAGCUGACACAAUUGCCACCGAGAUCAUUAUUUUCCUUUUUUUUUCAGGUUUUCAACAUCACGAAUUUCAUACUUAUGGAGUGGAGCUACCAAAAUAUCUAUUGAGGAAAUAUGUCGAAGCACAGAAUAUAUUCCAUAUGCAGUGGACUAACAGAAUGACACAACACAUAAAAAGAGGAGUAUAAGUGGAAACCUUUCUUUCUCUUUAAAUUCUUGAGGACUGUAACAUUAUGAUGAAGGUGGAACCAUAGAGAGAUGUGUAUUUUUAAUUGAGAUAUUUUCAGGAGUACCUUUGCAAAGCUGAUAUAGCUUUCUUUUACAAGAUAUGGUUGCACUUGCUUCAUCUACAUAGGCCGUCUGGAAUGCCAUGAGGCCGGGAUUUGUGUAGGAAAUCUUCAAAGCUAUUAUAUUGGUCUCAAGAAACUUGCAAUACAUCAAUGCAUUUUUAUUUUUAUUUUUUUGCUGACACCACAGCUACCACCUCUUCAGUAAAUGACAGAGGUUGCCAGCAGCUGCACAUGGAAAGAUUGAAUGUUAUAUUCUGUCUACUAAUCAAUAAGGAGGGAGAUCAAAAUUAAUGCUCUCAAAUAUUCGCCUGAUCAUUUGUAUGUUUCUGCAAUUUUCCUGCUUG